rnacentral:rRNA from 1 species
UACGUAGGGGGCAAGCGUUGUCCGGAAUCACUGGGCGUAAAGCGCACGUAGGCGGCUUUCUAAGUCAGGGGUGAAAUCCUGGAGCUCAACUCCAGAACUGCCUUUGAUACUGGAGAGCUUGAGUCCGGGAGAGGUGAGUGGAACUCCGAGUGUAGAGGUGAAAUUCGUAGAUAUUCGGAAGAACACCAGUGGCGAAGGCGGCUCACUGGCCCGGUACUGACGCUGAUGUGCGAAAGCGUGGGGAGCAAACAGG